rnacentral:rRNA from 1 species
CCUACGGGAGGCAGCAGUGGGGAAUAUUGGACAAUGGGGGGAACCCUGAUCCAGCCAUGCCGCGUGUGUGAAGAAGGCCCUCGGGUUGUAAAGCACUUUCAGUGAGGAAGAACGCCUGGUGGUUAAUACCCAUCAGGAAAGACAUCACUCACAGAAGAAGCACCGGCUAACUCCGUGCCAGCAGCCGCGGUAAUACGGAGGGUGCGAGCGUUAAUCGGAAUUACUGGGCGUAAAGCGCGCGUAGGUGGCUUGAUAAGCCGGUUGUGAAAGCCCCGGGCUCAACCUGGGAACGGCAUCCGGAACUGUCAAGCUAGAGUGCAGGAGAGGAAGGUAGAAUUCCCGGUGUAGCGGUGAAAUGCGUAGAGAUCGGGAGGAAUACCAGUGGCGAAGGCGGCCUUCUGGACUGACACUGACACUGAGGUGCGAAAGCGUGGGUAGCAAACAGGAUUAGAUACCCCUGUAGUA